rnacentral:rRNA from 1 species
AAACUUAAAGGAAUUGACGGGGGCCCGCACAAGCGGUGGAGCAUGUGGUUCAAUUCGACGCAACGCGAAGAACCUUACCUGGGCUCGAACGGCUUCCUAACGGUCGGUGAAAGCCGGCUAUCCCGCAAGGGAGUGGAGUCGAGGUGCUGCAUGGCUGUCGUCAGCUCGUGUCGUGAGAUGUUGGGUUAAGUCCCGCAACGAGCGCAACCCUUGUCCUGUGUUGCAAACCGAAAGGUGCACUCGCAGGAGACCGCCAGCGAUAAGUUGGAGGAAGGUGGGGAUGACGUCAAGUCAUCAUGGCCUUUAUGUCCAGGGCUACACACGUGCUACAAUGGACGGUACAAAGCGCCGCAAACCCGCGAGGGGGAGCAAAUCGCAAAAAACCGUUCUCAGUUCGGAUUGCAGGCUGCAACUCGCCUGCAUGAAGCUGGAAUCGCUAGUAAUGGCAUAUCAGAACGAUGCCGUGAAUACGUUCCCGGGCCUUGUACACACCGCCCGUCACAUCACGAAAGUGGGUUGUACUAGAAGCGCGCAGGCUAACCCGCAAGGGAGGCAGCGUUCCAAGGUAUGACUCAUGAUUGGGGUGAAGUCGUAACAAGGUAGCCGUAGGAGAACCUGCGGCUGGAUCACCUCCUUUAUG